UUACGCAGCACUGCUAUGGAGAGCCGUAGACUCAGUUCUUACACACACAGUCUCGCUCUGUCAGCCGGCAGAACAGGAACCAGAGGGAAGACUACAGUUCUGUCGCUGAGCUCUUUCUAAAAACAGCACUUGCCUAAUAAAGAUAUGGGGCUUGUGCCUUCCCUGUUCUCCUCUUCCACACUAUAAAUACUCUCGCUGAAGAUCAUACAGGCUUUGCUUGUUUCAGGUUCGUAUCUAAUAUACACUCUCUGAGAAGGAUAUCUGCUCCUCACUGCAUUACAGGAGUGAAGGGUCUUAAUCAGUUCUAAGGAUGCCCAGAGUGGACGCCGACCUCAAGCUGGACUUUAAAGAUGUCCUUCUCAGGCCAAAGAGGAGCAGCCUCAAAAGCAGAUCUGAGGUAGAUCUGGUACGCACAUUUACAUUCCGCAACUCCAAGCAGACCUACACCGGGAUCCCUAUUAUUGCAGCUAAUAUGGAUACUGUGGGUACUUUUGAAAUGGCAAAAACUUUGAGAAAGCAUACACUAUUUACGGCAAUUCACAAGCAUUAUACAUUAGAAGACUGGAAGAAAUUUGCAUCUACAUCUCCUGAAUAUCUUGAGCACGUAGCAGCAAGCUCUGGAAGUAGUCAAGCUGAUCUUGACAAGCUGAGUAGUAUCCUGGAAGCCAUCCCUCUCAUUAAAUAUAUUUGCUUGGAUGUAGCUAAUGGAUAUUCCGAACACUUUGUAGAAUUUGUGAAGACUGUACAUGCCAAAUUUCCAAACCACACUAUUAUGGCUGGAAAUGUGGUUACAGGUGAAAUGGUGGAGGAGCUCAUUCUUGCUGGAGCUGACAUCAUAAAAGUCGGAAUUGGACCAGGUUCUGUUUGUACAACUAGAAUUAAAACAGGCGUGGGCUAUCCUCAGUUAAGUGCUGUGAUUGAAUGUGCUGACUCUGCCCAUGGACUGAAAGGACACAUCAUUUCAGAUGGAGGCUGCAGUUGUCCUGGAGAUGUUGCCAAAGCUUUUGGAGCAGGAGCAGAUUUUGUGAUGCUGGGAGGAAUGUUUGCUGGCCAUGAUCAGUGUUCAGGAGAAAUCACAGAGAAAAAUGGAAAGAAGGUGAUGCUUUUCUAUGGUAUGAGUUCCGAUACAGCUAUGAAGAAGCACGCCGGUGGUGUGGCUGAAUACAGGGCAUCAGAAGGCAGGACAGUGGAGGUUCCUUACAGAGGAGACGUGAAUAACACUGUUCGAGACAUCUUAGGAGGACUGCGAUCCACUUGCACAUAUGUAGGAGCUGCCAAGCUGAAAGAGCUAAGCAGGAGGACAACUUUUAUCCGCGUGACUCAGCAAUUCAACCAGAUAUUUUCUUAAUGUAUAUGCAGUUUCCAUGCUAAGUUCAUCACAGAGCUGUCCAGUUGUUAAUUCCACAAAACUUUUCCUUGGUAAAGGAUAAACUAUGCAGUUGAUCAAUGGUGUUCCAACUGAGGCUCUUCAGUGAUUGCAAAACUACAACUCUUAGAAUGCUAAGAAUUUUAGUUUUUAAAACCACUAGAGUGCCUCCACAGGUUGAAGAUCAGUGCAGUAGAUACAUCAUCAUUUGUAAUCUGGUUUCUGGUUUAAAUCCCACCAGACUUUUAGGCUAUGGCCACAUGUUCAGGUUUCCUGACACAGUUUUAGAAGCUAAAACCAGGAGUGAAUUCAAUAAAGAGGAAAAGUUGUAUCUGCCCUUAAUACUUGGUCUCCUUUUAUGAUCUUGUUUGGUUUCCAAAACUGCAUCAGGAAACUAGGCCAUACCCUGAGGAUCUUAGUAACCAUAGGUAGAACCAGUUUAUAGACAGUGCACACAGCACUUGCUACGUAACACAUAUUAAUUUUUUUUUUACAGACAAAUGUGUAUUUAUUUAUUUCACAUUUUAGAAUAAUUUAACUUACACUGAUGACCCACUGAUUGUAUUUAAUUUGAUGCAUUAACUUCUGUCAUAGAAACGUGCAUUCAUGUACAUUAGAAAAGUUCUGCCAGUCAUUUGUGGCCAAUUUGUGGCCUUCAUUUCCCCCUUAAAAUCAUGUUCAUAAAGGUCACAGUAAUAUGCCAGACGAUGUUAUCAUUGGAAUCUAUGUUCUCAGCCCUAAGGCCCUAAUACUCUAUAGAAAUGUUGAACACAAUACGUGUGUUACCGAAUGGGUUAAUAUUGUAGUAAAUUAGAAUUUUUAAAAUGUAACAACUUUUUUUCUUUUAUACACUGGUAAAAUGUUGAUAAAUUACACAAAAUAGUGAAUUAAACCUUUUGUGCUAAUAGUCAACCAGGAUUGUGUUUGGCCCACCAGAGGAGUGCCUGCCUACCAUCAAACUAUAUAGAAAACAUGCAUAUCCACUUUUUAUUUUAUUUUAAUUUAUUUAUUGACACUAGCAACAAGGGAUGGUCUUCAAAUAAGCUUUAAAUAGAGUUGUCUUCUGCUGAAAACUUGGUCCCAUCCAAAGAUCCUCUGGUACUUCUGUCAGCUGAUCCUGGUAAUGUGGUUGGCAAUGUCAAAAGUGGUAGCUUUACAGAUUUUUUUUUUUUUAGUUAUGAUUUAGGGGGUUGACCAUCAGCCGCCAAGCAUUUCCACAGGUGGAUAUCCCCCAUUUCUCUCUGUAAGUAGAUGGUGGACCUCAUCUCUAAACUCAACCGAUCCGCAUAUCCAUUGUUCCAAUAAGAAGGUAACAUGUUCCUCUGGACACACUUUCAUUUCGUCGAGGAAGAUAGAAAGGAAUGUCUGCAAACAAUUGAAUGGCCCUUAUAAAGUAUGAAGGUUUCCAUGUCAAAUAUCUCAGUUUACUCUUUCAUUUCUUCCUUUUAACAGGUAUAAUAUAAAAAGUGGCUAUAUCAUUCAAAAUUUACAUUGAAAAGUAAUACAAAUAAUAAAAAUACUUAUAUGCAUGGUAUAUUGCUGUAUAUUGCUAAUAAACAUGAUGUAAUUUGCUGAAAAGAUUAUCAUUAUUGCUGGACAAGGAUGAUCUGCAAUGUCCAGUGGGUUGCAGUCAAGAAUAUUAUGUGACUGGAAUGAGCUAUGCAUCUUUUCUACAUAACAUGAUCAAUACCCUGUAUGUUCAUGCUUUGUAACAUUCACUGUAUGACAGCAUCAUAUUUAAUUUAAUAUCACUCAUGUGAACAUUCACUCAGCAUACCCUAGAGAUUUUUCUAAAAAAACAAUGCAAUCUGCAUUUGUUUCACUAUCAUGUUUCUCUUGAAACUUAGUCCCUGCUAAGCACGUGUCCUCAUUCCACCAUGUCAGUCUUGGGUCAUUAAAACAUGUGCCAAAUUUGCAAUUAUGUGCUGUUUCAAUAGAUACUUUACAGCCAUGAUAAUUUAUGGAUGACUAGAAAGAUAACUGCAAUAUCCGUGUAAUAAGAGAAGCGGUUCCUGACAUGUAGAGGUCAAGAUGCAAUGUAAGAAUAUUUUCUUUGGAUGUGCCUUUAUUAAAUAUGGUUUGUUAAACACAUGCACUUUGGAAGAAC